rnacentral:lncRNA from 1 species
CCUCUCUUCCCACACUACACAAACAUCACAUACAAAGAAACCUAAAUAUGUUUCGAACAUUUAUUUGUGUUCUUCUUUUGUUGUCUCCAAUAUAUGAAACAAUGGCUAGGCAUCAUCCAAUAUUGCCUAGUGCACCCUCUACUGCAUUGCCAUUAGGGUCUAAGACUCGUGACUUUGUCACUUUAAAGCCAUUGUUGAGUCACAAGCAAAGAGUUUUCCAUAAGAAGGAAGUGAAGAAUUGCAAGCCAAAAGGGUCUGGCCACUCGUCCGCCCCUAGUCGUUAUGUGAAUUAUCACACUCAUGGCUCGAUGAAGUGCUUUUCAGGGUAAGGAUUCUCAGCAAUGUUAGAAAUGCAUUUGGGAUUAAAUAUUAAUGUAACAUGGCCUAGCCAGCUUGUGAGAGAACUAGCUGAUUUUGCGUGUGUGGUGAGAAUACAUCGUUUUUGGCUAGAAACUUAUUCUAGAUAUAAGUGUUCUUGUGGAGCGUACAAGAAAAUGAAGAUUGAUUGUCUAACAAGUUUCACAAUUUUGGUUGUAAUAUCAGCUGCUGUUAUCUGUCUAGAUUGUAUAUUGUCAUGAUGUUGAAG